CAGCAGCCGCGGUAAUACGUAGGGUGCGAGCGUUAAUCGGAAUUACUGGGCGUAAAGCGUGCGCAGGCGGUUUGUUAAGACAGAUGUGAAAUCCCCGGGCUCAACCUGGGAACUUCAUUUGUGACCGGCAGGCUAGAGUAUGGCAGAGGGGGGUGGAAUUCCGCGUGUAGCAGUGAAAUGCGUAGAUAUGCGGAGGAACACCGAUGGCGAAGGCAGCCCCCUGGGCCAAUACUGACGCUCAUGCACGAAAGCGUGGGGAGCAAACAGGAUUAGAUACCCGCGUAGUCCCUGUCUCUUAUAC
rnacentral:rRNA from 1 species